UGAAAAUCGACGCGGAGCACUGUAUUUAAAUUACGACACUGCUUUGGAGCGAUUUGAUGAAGCACAAGUCUACACAUAACCUCAAAUUAUAGUUUUUAAACAUAUUUACACUACAUAACAACAGCGCAAAAAUCAGAAGUGUUUAGUGGGAUAUUUCUAUUUGUGUUUAAGUGUCAUAAAACCGAUUAAAUGAUUCAAAAUUAUCGCGACUACAUAACCUCAAAAAAGUGGUAUUGCGUAUAAUUUAGUUUUAACGUAUACAAAGCAAGCGAAAAAAUUUGAAAAUUCACCGUUGGAACUGUAUCUACAACUCUUUGAGCCAGAAACUUCCUCAAAGCAUUCGAAGUUUAAAGCUGGUGGGUCUGCAUAACCUCAAAAACCCGCAUUUGUGUACGAAGACAUGCAUUUGCGGACCUGUAUCGAAUAAAACAUUCGUGUUCAAAAUUUUCGAUGCUACAUAACCUCAAAGACUAUUCUAUGAGUUGAAAGAUUGUAGUUAUAACAUAACCUCAACGAACAGGUUGUAUAAAUAUCUGCCUGAGGACUGUGGAAAAGUGUUUUAUGCAGUGUUCUUCACCCGUAUUACAGCAAAUAUUUGAGAUAUAUGCAUGAAAAUUAAUUAUAAGUGAAAUUAUUGUGUAUAAGUUCAGUCUAUGGUCGCGAAAUGGUUUAAGAUCGCUAAACUCAUCGAACCCAGUGAAGUCAUAUUAUUAUUAAUGGGUAUAUUUAAACAAAGUAUAUUUAAAAAAUCACAAAUACUACAAAAACAACCUAAUUAAGACUUAAGACUUGAAAUCACAUCUCAUCUAAAUUAACUUAAAAUAAGCCAUCACACCACUUAAAAAUCACUAAGCCAACACCAAAACUUGUAUAAAGUGUUUGGCGCAGUCAAAACGGGAGCUUUUUAAAGACUCCCUGCUGCCGCUAGUAGCCGCGCUUGCAAUUGUAAAGCUACAAGCACACGCAUAAGCUGUUUCUCUAUCAACUCAUUCAUUUUAUCAUUUUGCAAAAUCAUCAAUCAAGUUUUCUAACAGCUCUGGUGCUGGGGAUUGCAGCUUUACCAGCAAACACAAGCCAGAGUUGCAGAGUAAACAAAGUUUGCGGUCUUUUUGCGGUCGCUGCUUAAACUUUUUAAACUUGGUGUUAAACUAUUGCCAACAAGCGUGCAAUAGUCGGCACAUUGUCCAUAUUUCCGACAUCCUUAGUGCGGGCAUGUUGGAAAUGAGUUGAAUAUAGAGAAAUAGUGGCCAGCGCUAUAUGGAGUUGCAGUAAUGUGGUUAUGUGAGAUCAACAAUAAUACAGGAUGUGUGCAAUUUUUAAACUACGAAUUCUACGACAAUUUUAUUGCAAGGCAUCGAUUGCAACGCGUUAUUGUUGCGCGCUGCAACGCGCCGUGGCUUGCAGUGCGCGCGGAAAGCGCGUUGUGCUGUAAACUUGUCGCGCGCAUGCUGUGCGGUCUUACAACAACAACAAGCGCUCAAUAUAUAUUGCAACAACAACAAAAAUAUAUGUCAUAUAUAACAACAAUAACAUUACAAGUCAUAAGCAACAGCAACAACGGCGCGCGUUCUUGCCGCCGCCAAAUCUCAUAUUUAUGCGCGGACUACCUACUUAGUCGCCGAUAUUACAGCAAAACGUUCCACAAGUUCAAUUCAAUACCCCAUCUAAAUGGUUCACAGAUAAAAAUUAAUCUGCUUUUUUAGCCCUUCAAGCAUGGCAAAAAUUGUUAACAUUUAGCCAUUUGACGUUUGAAACUGCCAAUUUGAACUUCAUAUUUGCCUCAAGCUGCGUAUUGUUUGAAAAAUCAACAAUCAAGCCUAUAAAACUAGCGUCAAGCAUGCAUUGUAAAAAGUUAAAUACGUGUAUACAGCAAUUUUAAUGCCAUAUCAGCAAUUUGCAACUGAUUUUAAAGCGCACCGCACCAGCAGCGAAGUUCAAGGAAAUUGCAAAUGAAAGAGAAAUGAAUAAUAAAGUAGUGACGCUUGGGCAAGUGGCAUCCAGUAGCGAAGCAAUUUGUUGUAAUUCACACGGUAUUGAAGUGUGUUAAAGGUAAGUUAUUUAUAGAUUUCUACGCGUAUAAGAUGUCAGUAUUUAUAACACGAAAUUUUAAUUUACAUACCAUAAUUUUUUCAUAUAUUUGAGUACCAAUAUUUUUAUUAGUUUAAGAGCUAUCGCGCUGAAAUUCGAUUUUGUCG